UCUUGUUGAAUUUCUUACUUCAUUAAAUAUCUUAUACACAAUUUCCUGUUAAUACGCCUUAAACAAAACCUCCCUUAAGAAAUUAUUUCAAUUAAGUAUAAAUAUUCAACAAGAAUAGGUCUUAGAAAGCAUCCCCAGGAGUUCCA